GAUCACUAAUUUGCAUCUACCCAGAGCACAGCCCACUGUCCUGAGAACUGCUUCAUAGUCAGGUCACACCCUGUACUGGAGUCAGCCUCACACAGGGCACAGCACAGACAUGAGGGCCCCCACUCAGCUCCUGGGUUUUCUGCUGCUCUGGUUUACAGGAGCCAGAUGUGACAUCCAGAUGACCCAGUCUCCAUCCUCCCUGUCUACAUCUCUGGGAGACAGUGUCACCAUUACAUGUCAUGCAAGUGAGGACAUUUAUGGGUAUUUAGCAUGGUAUCAGCAGAAACCAGGGAAACCUCCUAAGCUCCUGAUCUAUGGUGCUAACAGCUUGGCAGAUGGGGUCCCAUCAAGGUUCACUGGCAGUGGAUCUGGCACACAGUAUUCUUUCAAGAUCAGUAGCCUGCAGCUUGAAGAUUUUGUAACCUAUUACUGUCAGCAGCAUUACAGUACCCCUCCCACAGUGAUUCAAGCCAUGACAUAA